rnacentral:lncRNA from 1 species
AUUGCUUACUGAAUUGUGAAAGCUGGGAUGAUUUAACUACAGGAAUGAGAAAGGAGAUCUGAAGACAGAAGAAAUAUUAUGCAGUUUCGCAGAGAUAUCAACAACGUUGGUUGCCAAGAGACAGUUUUUCUCAAGCUCCCAAAUGAAAUGGAGUCUUGGGCACCAAAAAUUGUCACAACACAUUUUAAGAAAAGCGCACAUAAUUCUGACACACGAAUGAAAGUUUGCCAAUGAAUCAAACAGGACUACAUCUCCCUAGAAUGUGACAGUCCACAGAAAUAUCUGAUUUCAAAGAGAUGCUUGCAUUCUGUACUGAUGCCAUCUAGAAUUGUAAAUGACCAGUGUCACACUGCUAAGUGGAGAAAGGGUGAAAGAAGAAUCCCAUCAGUACAUUCACGAUAGAGGAAAUAAGAAACAAUGAAAGCCACAAGUUUACUCGAAGGCAGCAAAAUUGGCCCUACUCCCAACCCUGCAACAUGCACCAUUUCCAUAAACAAUCUACAGAGAUGGCUGAGAAAAAGAAAAAGGGGUACUCUCCUUUACCCCUUCUCCAAAGCCCGAUGAAGUAAAGAGUAGAAAUCAAGAGUGUCUACAAGAAUUGGGGAUUGGCAUUGAUUCUCCACUGUGUGAUUACUCAUGCUUUAUGGCAAUGUGCCUAUUUAAAG